AUACGUAGGUGGCAAGCGUUAUCCGGAUUUACUGGGUGUAAAGGGCGUGUAGGCGGGAUGGUAGGUCAGAUGUGAAAUACCGCAGCUUAACUGCGGGGCUGCAUUUGAAACCCCCAUUCUUGAGUGUUGGAGAGGUAAGUGGAAUUCCUAGUGUAGCGGUGAAAUGCGUAGAUAUUAGGAGGAACACCAGUGGCGAAGGCGAAUUACGGGCCAAUAAGUGAAGCUGAGGCCCGAAAGCGUGGGGAGAAAACAGGAUUAGAUAACCGGGUAGUCCACGCCGUAAACGAUGGAUACUAGGUGUAGGGGGUAUCGCCUCCCCCUGUGCCGCAGUUAACACAAUAAGUAUCCCACCUGGGGAGUACGGCCGCAAGGCUGAAACUCAAAGGAAUUGACGGGG
rnacentral:rRNA from 1 species